ensembl:lncRNA
AAAAAUAGCCAAAUCUUGUACCCAGUCCUUGGUGAAUUGGAUGUGCGCCUCCAGAGAUUUAUAAUUGCGAAAUUGGUGCGCCGUGUAUGCGCUGACUCCACAGACAAGGUACGAGAGUAGAUCAUGCUAAGUCAAUAGCGGUUUGGUCUUCAGGGUUUCUACUCCACGGCAGUAUUUCAUACGGGUCCACAUUUCAGCAAUCAAGUACCAUCUCUUUGCAUCUGGACACAAUCUGUCUCUAUACCGUCAUUUUUCUUUUGAGCUACGUUUCAGAAUGGUUCGUGGCAAUCUUGUUUUGAUUCGCAGCCUGCCAAGAUGGUGCUGCGCUCCCACAAUGCAUUGCGACAUUACGUCAACUCCAAAGCCCUUUGCGUGCAGGAGUAUGCGCAUGUGCAUUGCCAUGGUGGUUUAAAAAUAAAGAUAUAAUGAAAAGCAAUUAAUAAAAAUUUAAUAUUUAAACAUUCCCACAAAUGUGCAAUGAACGUGCAAAAACUCUCUUUAUUAGUUGUUGCUGUUUCUUUCUUUCUUUUUUCUUUCUUUUUUUUUUUUUGAAAAAUAACGACCUCUCUGAGGCGCGAAUUCCGACAGUGAGAGGAACGGCCGGAUACAGGAGACGGGAAGAAACAAGCCGAUUAUGUUCGCGUUAAUUAAGUGGUUGGAAGAUGUAAAAUUCUCAAUCCUGCCAACUGAACAUAUACGAGAUUUUAAUGAGGAUGAAUAAUUAGCCGGCAUGGAGGAAACGGACCUUUAUUUGGUGGAGUGGCGACAAGAAGCCAAAAGACGGGUGGCCGGUCUAUGAAGCCUCCAUCAUCAAGCUAGCAGAAAUCCCACCUCUCCUUCUGGCUACAGAGUACUUACUUACCAAGCCCAUGAAAUCGAAUGCAGAUCUUCCUGAUGUGAGAUUUACAUAAAUAUGUCAAAGUCUCAACCUCAUGCUGCCCUCCCCCAUCCUCCUAAAGUUCAAUGGUGCGUGUUCUUCUAAUGGCCGCCUUCCCACUGGAGGUUUUGAUCCACAGCAAUUUAAAAGG